CAAACAUACUGUACAGAUAUCUUCAAAUGUACUGUUGUACACAAUAUUGUAUCACAUUUGAUGAGCUUACUGAUCUGUCCGUCCACAAGCUCGAUCUGCUGUAGUCUACAACUGGACUCUUGCGCUCGGAUCACACUGGCACAGGUUAUCCAUGUACCGGAAGGCCUGAGGGAUGCACUCUGUUGAACUGGAAAACAAAGAGACGUGUCCGGAUCUUCCUCUUCUGCCAUGGUGGACGAGCACCUUUUCUGCGCUUGUUAAUGGAAAACAGAUGGAAGACGGACUACCUGUGGUAAAUACCAAUCUGCGUUUCCCGAACACCUGUGUGUAAACGAAGACAAACGCCCCAAACAUGUUGUCGCUGAAAAAUACUGUGCACAGCAGAGGAGAUUGGUGUGAGGAGCUAUAUGAGG
ensembl:lncRNA